rnacentral:rRNA from 1 species
UACGUAGGGUGCGAGCGUUGUCCGGAAUUACUGGGCGUAAAGAGCUCGUAGGUGGUUUGUCGCGUUGUUCGUGAAAACUCACAACUCAAUUGUGGGCGUGCGGGCGAUACGGGCAGACUGGAGUACUGCAGGGGAGACUGGAAUUCCUGGUGUAGCGGUGGAAUGCGCAGAUAUCAGGAGGAACACCGGUGGCGAAGGCGGGUCUCUGGGCAUGACUGACGCUGAGGAGCGAA